rnacentral:snRNA from 1 species
AACCGGGAAGAGCCCAGCUUG